CCUACGGGAGGCAGCAGUGAGGAAUAUUGGUCAAUGGGCGGGAGCCUGAACCAGCCAAGUCGCGUGAGGGAAGACGGUCCUAUGGAUUGUAAACCUCUUUAGGCGGGGAGCAAUGCCGGGCACGCGUGCCCGGAGGGAGAGUACCCGCAGAAUAAGCAUCGGCAAACCACGGGCCAGCAGCCGCGGUAAUACGGAGGAUGCGAGCGUUAUCCGGAUUUAUGGGGGUAAAGGGGUGUGAUGGGGGAUUUUUAAGUCAGCGGUAAAAUGUCCGGGCUCAACCCGGGCCGGCCGUUGAUACUGGGGAUCUUGAGUGGGCGAGAGGUAUGCGGAAUGCGUGGUGUAGCGGUGAAAUGCGUAGAUAUCACGCAGAACUCCGAUUGCGAAGGCAGCAUACCGGCGCCCGACUGACGCUGAGGCACGAAAGCGUGGGGAUCGAACAGGAUUAGAUACCCCAGUAGUC
rnacentral:rRNA from 1 species